rnacentral:rRNA from 1 species
AUUGAACGCUGGCGGCAUGCUUUACACAUGCAAGUCGAACGGCAGCACGGGGGCAACCCUGGUGGCGAGUGGCGAACGGGUGAGUAAUAUAUCGGAACAUGUCCGGAAGUGGGGGAUAACGUAGCGAAAGUUACGCUAAUACCGCAUAUGCCCUGGGGGGGAAAGGGGGGGAUCGCAAGACCUCUCGCUGUCGGAGUGGCCGAUAUCAGAUUAGCUAGUUGGUGGGGUAAAGGCCUACCAAGGCAACGAUCUGUAGCUGGUCUGAGAGGACGACCAGCCACACUGGGACUGAGACACGGCCCAGACUCCUACGGGAGGCAGCAGUGGGGAAUUUUGGACAAUGGGGGCAACCCUGAUCCAGCCAUGCCGCGUGAGUGAAGAAGGCCUUCGGGUUGUAAAGCUCUUUCGGACAGAAAGAAAUCGUGCAGAAUAAUACUCUGUAUGGAUGACGGUACUGUAAGAAGAAGCACCGGCUAACUACGUGCCAGCCGCCGCAGUAA